ACAAUGAAGAGUUUGAUCCUGGCUCAGGAUGAACGCUAGCUACAGGCUUAACACAUGCAAGUCGAGGGGCAUCA
rnacentral:rRNA from 1 species